rnacentral:lncRNA from 1 species
UUUUAAGUUUUUUCUUGCUUUUGGACCCUAGGCUUGGCCUAGUGGUCUAGUUGCUAAUAUUUGCUUGAUUUUUCAGGAUCAAAAAAGCAAUGUACAUGGAGAAUGAUACAAGUUGAUUUUAAUUGAUGUUGUGGAUGUUUGUACACUAACAUAACAUUGUUUUGUAGGUGUUGGAGUUUGGGUUUAAGCCUUGAGCUUGCC